rnacentral:rRNA from 1 species
UGGGGAAUAUUGCACAAUGGGCGCAAGCCUGAUGCAGCCAUGCCGCGUGUGUGAAGAAGGCCUUCGGGUUGUAAAGCACUUUCAGCGAGGAGGAAGGUGGUGAACUUAAUACGUUCAUCAAUUGACGUUAUUCGCAGAAGAAGCACCGGCUAACUCCGUGCCAGCAGCCGCGGUAAUACGGAGGGUGCAAGCGUUAAUCGGAAUUACUGGGCGUAAAGCGCACGCAGGCGGUUUGUUAAGUCAGAUGUGAAAUCCCCGGGCUCAACCUGGGAACUGCAUUUGAAACUGGCAAGCUAGAGUCUCGUAGAGGGGGGUAGAAUUCCAGGUGUAGCGGUGAAAUGCGUAGAGAUCUGGAGGAAUACCGGUGGCGAAGGCGGCCCCCCUGGACGAAGACUGACGCUCAGGUGCGAAAAGGCGUGGGGGCAGCAAACAGGAUUAGAUACCCUGGUAGUCCACGCUGUAAACGAUGUCGAUUUUGGAGGUUGUGCCCUUGAGGCGUGGCUUCCGGAGCUAACGCGUUAAAUCGACCGCCUGGGGAGUACGG